GGUGGCUCAGUGGUAGAGUGCUUGCCUUGCGUGCAGGAGGCCCUGGGUUCGAUUCCUCAGUACCA
rnacentral:tRNA from 1 species